AUAAUGAUACUUCUGUAAUUCGCAGCCCGACCAUAAUGCAGGCGGGGAGAUGAAAUUUCUAUGG
rfam:Blautia sp. YL58, complete genome.